UACGGGGGGGGGCUAGCGUUGCUCGGAAUCACUGGGCGUAAAGGGUGCGUAGGCGGGUCUUUAAGUCAGGGGGGAAAUCCUGGAGCUCAACUCCAGAACUGCCUUUGAUACUGAGGAUCUUGAGUUCGGGAGAGGUGAGUGGAACUGCGAGUGUAGAGGUGAAAUUCGUAGAUAUUCGCAAGAACACCCGUGGCGAAGGCGGCUCACUGGGCUGACCUUGACGCUGAGGCGCGAAGGCGUGGGGAGCGAACGGG
rnacentral:rRNA from 1 species